UACGUAGGGGGCAAGCGUUACUCGGAUUCACUGGGCGUAAAGAGCGUGUAGGCGGCUUGGUAGGUCCGCUGUGAAAACUCGAGGCUCAACCUCGAGAUGUCGGCGGAAACCACUUGGCUAGAGUCCGGAAGAGGAGAGUGGAAUUCCCGGUGUAGCGGUGAAAUGCGCAGAUAUCGGGAAGAACACCUAUGGCGAAGGCAGCUCUCUGGGACGGUACUGACGCUGAGACGCGAAAGCGUGGGGAGCGAACAGG
rnacentral:rRNA from 1 species